GCAAACUUGGUCAUUUAGAGGAAGUAAAAGUCGUAACAAGGUUUCCGUAGGUGAACCUGCGGAAGGAUCAUUAGAGGAACUCUUUUUUCCACUAAAUCCACACACACUGUGCACCCUUGCCGGGGCUGCUUGCAGCGCCCGUCCUUUUUAUCUCGCACCCAUUCAUUGAAAAGGUCUCUGAACGUGAAAUCUGAAAAUGAAACACAACUUUCAACAACGGAUCUCUUGGCUCUCGCAUCGAUGAAGAACGCAGC
rnacentral:misc_RNA from 1 species